GAGAAACGAAACAGUGAUGUGGAGUAAAACUUAAAAAAGCGGUCCCAGUUCGAAUUGAAGGCUGAAAUUCGCCUUCAUGAAGUCGGAAUUGCUAGUAAUGGCAGGUCAGCAUACUGCCGUGAAUACGUUCCCGGGCCUUGUACACACCGCCCGUCACACCAUGAGAGUUGGAGAUACCCGAAGCCUGUGAGCUAACUUUUAGAGGCAGCAGUCGAAGGUAGAAUCAAUGAUUGGGGUGAAGUCGUAACAAGGUACC
rnacentral:rRNA from 1 species